rnacentral:rRNA from 1 species
CGCGUAGGCGGCUUGACAAGUCAGGUGUGAAAUCCCCGAGCUUAACUUGGGAAUUGCAUCUGAAACUGUCGAGCUUGAGUCCUGGAGGGGAUAGCGGAAUUCCCAGUGUAGCGGUGAAAUGCGUAGAUAUUGGGAGGAACACCUGCGGCGAAGGCGGCUAUCUGGACAGUGACUGACGCUGAGGCGCGAAAGCUAGGGGAGCGAACG